rnacentral:rRNA from 1 species
UACAGAGGGGGCAAGCGUUAUUCGGAAUUAUUGGGCGUAAAGGGCGCGUAGGCGGCCUGGCAAGUGGAAGGUGAAAUCCCUCGGCUUAACCGAGGAACUGCCUCCCAAACUGCUUGGCUCGAGACCGGGAGAGGUGAGUGGAAUUCCCAGUGUAGCGGUGAAAUGCGUAGAUAUUGGGAGGAACACCAGUGGCGAAGGCGGGUCUCUGGGCAAUGACCGACGCUGAGGCGCGAAGGCGUGGGAAGCAAACAGG